rnacentral:rRNA from 1 species
CAGUAGGGUGCCAUCAAGAGGUGUAUUGAA